GACGAACGCUGGCGGCGUGCCUAAUACAUGCAAGUAGAACGCUGAAGGAGGAGCUUGCUUCGCUGGAUGAGUUGCGAACGGGUGAGUAACGCGUAGGUAACCUGCCUGUUAGCGGGGGAUAACUAUUGGAAACGAUAGCUAAUACCGCAUAAUAGUAGAUGUUGCAUGACAUUUGCUGAAAAGGUGCAGUUGCAGCACUACCAGAUGGACCUUCGUUGUAUUAGCUAGUUGGUGGGUAACGGCUCACCAAGGCGACGAUACAUAGCCGACCGGAGAGGGUGAUCGGCCACACUGGGACUGAGACACGGCCCAGACUCCUUCGGGAGGCAGCAGUAGGGAAUCGUCGGCAAUGGAUGGAAGUCUGACCGAGCAACGCCGCGUGAGUGAAGAAGGUUUCCGGAUCGUAAAGCUCUGUUGUAAGAGAAGAACGAGUGUGCGAGUGGAAAGUUCACACUGUGACGGUAUCUUACCAGAAAGGGACGGCUAACUACGUG
rnacentral:rRNA from 1 species